CCCCAGCCACAGCGGUCAUCAGGAUCAGACCACAAAAGAUCACACAUCGGACCCUCAUGGGGAACUUCUUGAACACGAUCAAAAUUACGUAUGUUGUCAAGGGUUUCAAUGGAAGGGGAUAAUCCACCAUGGAGACAAAAUAUCUCUGAUUCAACCAAUGCUGUCAGUGGAAAAUAGUCGAACAAAUCUGUAAAGAUCUUCCAAACAUUGGCAUUGCCAUACUUCCGUAGGCAUUCAUCAUAGAACCCAUAAACUUGAGUAAUCUGACGACUUUCAUGAUUUCCCCGUAGAAUGGUAAUUCGUUGAGGAUAACGCACCUUCAGAGCUACCAAAAGCGUUACAGUUUCAACUGAGUAAUAGCCACGGUCAACAUAAUCUCCCAUGAACAAAUAAUUUGUAUCUGGACACUUUCCUCCAAUUCGAAAAAGUUCAGCAAGAUCAUGGAAUUGACCAUGGAUAUCACCACAUAUUGUAACAGGACUUUUAACAGGCUGAACAUUGCUUUCUUCCAUCAAAAUCUCCUUAGCCUUUUCACACAACAUCCUUACCUCUUGCUCAGAUAAGGGCUUGCACUGCAUGAGCUGAUUAAUCUGCUCAUCAAGGUUUCCAUGCGCGUUCGCAGGGAGCGAAUCCAAGCUCAUUUUCUUGUUGCCUCUUUGUUUAAUCAGAGAUCGAGAUCCCUUCGAUUUCAGGUUUUAUUGUAUGACCUAACCCUAGAUUAUUUCUCCCGAAGAAUAAUAAAUUGAACCCUAGAUUUCACUCUCUUCGAAUUACUAGAGAGAGAAAAUGAAUAAUUAGAGUUAGAGAGAGAAUGUGAGAAAAGGAAGAGAAAGAAAAAGUAUCUG
rnacentral:misc_RNA from 1 species